AGCUUCGCCAAUAGUUCCACCUGCAGUCAGAAGGCCGUGGUUUUGUAGAAUGAUGUUUUUCGCAGUGGCACCGAGGGCAUCAGCGAUACGGCCACCCUCUUCUUUAGCGAAUACCACACCACCAAAACUGCCAUAUACUGCGAGGUCAUUGUAGAACAUGCAUGAAUCUUGGUUGAGC
rnacentral:misc_RNA from 1 species